CGGUUUCCUGGAAAACAGACAGAUUAACCAAUCAUGCUCAAAGUAAAACGGCGAAACAACCAAUAUCAAUAGCAAUAGUUUGCGCGAGUUAACAUAGCUGUGUAUUAAGUUUUAUUUGCAGACUGCAGUCUGUAUUAUUAUUUAAUUAAUUGGUCAAAUGACAUGACAGUGUAUGAAUAAAAAUGUAAUAAUGCAAUGUAAACAGUUAGGCAAGCAGAAAAAUUGUAAAUUCACACAAAAUCACAUGAGGCAAACGGUUUCUGCUGCACUGCUUUCUUGAGGGUGAAACUAUUAUUGUUAAUAAUGAUAAUAAUUAUAUUUUAACAUAUACAUUGAAGAGCUGUUAUGAUCCAAAACUCAUUAAAUGCUAAUUAAUUAUCAUAAUAAUACGUUAAAAGGCAGAAACACUUCUAAAUCAAUGUUGAUUUUUUUUAACAAGAUCUGUAUGUUGAAACAACGUAAUGUUUUCAUUCAACGUUGAUUUAGAAGUGUUUUUGUUAACCUUUUCAACCAUGUAGCAUUAAACGUUAUUUCAAUGUUGAAACAACAACUGACAUUAUUUCAAUCAAAUUUCAACAUUGAAGGUAGGUCAUGUGCCGGGUGGGUAAAUAUAUUAAAUUACCUUUAGUGAUAUCUAAAGCACAGAGACUAGAAAAACAAUUACGAUGUUUGUUUACACGGUUGUGUAAUGUUUCAACCAUUUUAAUGUCUACAAUUCCUUCACCCCUAGUUUACCAAAGCUCAAGUUUAUGCUACAAGAGCCUUGGUUGAACUGUUGAGCCCCAGAAUAAAUUCCUAGUCUUUCACACAUUGCUCACCUAUUGUAAAUUAAAAAUAUAUAGCACCCUAUUUUAAAGCUUUAUUCAUAGUGUGGCUGUUUGUUCCCAUCAACCGAGGCCUAAUGAUUUCACUGCAGUGAGGGCCUUGAAUUUUGUUGAAUAUAGAUUGAUUUUGUGUCUUAAUGCUUCAACGUUUUUAAAGUGGACAUGUGUCAAUAUAGUCUAUGGUCAAUAUAUACGAUAACAGAAAAACACUGUCAGGGCAGCAUUUCAAACAGACAAAAAGGACCAUGUCCUUAAAAGCCAAGCCAAAAGAGGAUAUAUCAGCACACAAGAUUCAAGAGUCCUUUCACACCAACAGGCAGACAGGCAUUAGGAGGUUAGUGUCCAGCAUUCUUGAGCCUGGUUGUCUUGCGGAAAAACUGUCCCAAAGCAUGAUGAUCAGAGACUUGAGGCUGCAGCACCACUUGCCAGACAGCAGCAGCUCAAACAGUCCACGGGUGGGGGCUGAAAAUUUUUGCCACUCCAUUUUUUAUGAAAUUUUUACAGAACACUUCAGAAUUGUAAACAUUGAGUCAGUGCCUGACAGUAGAAACACUGUAUAUAUGAUGCAUAAACAAUCACUGACUAUUGUUGAUUUAAGAAUUUUAUAUUAGACUUAAGCUGUGCAAUAACUGUAUAUUUAGUUACACUGUGCAACAAUACCUCCUGCCGUAUUCAUCCAUCUUUCAAGGCAAUAUUUUAGAUCUGUGUCUGUAGUAUAACACACAGUAAUUAUUAUGUUAAAUUUUUAUUUACAGCAUAUGUGCAUGAAAGGUAGCCUACAUAGCUGUUUUUUUUUAUUUUUAUUUUAUGUAUAUAUUUUUUAUCUAUCACUCUUGUAUCUGCACUUGUUGAAUCUUAAGCUGAUGUGGCCAGCAAAGUUUAUCUUUGCUUCUGAAAAAUAAUAUUUCUUAAUUGUAUAUUUCUGCAUUGGUGGCAGGGGACUUGGAAGUUUUAAAUGUACCCUGUAUUUGAUAGGUGUGAGGUGCUAAUUUAAUUCCUGUCUGCAUGCCAUGUAACUGACAUCAGAAGCCAUAGUUUAUAAGACACUACAGACACCAGCAAAGUAGGUACUGGAAAAAGAGCCCCAUGCCAGCGUCUGUAAUAGACUUUGGGGCUCAAGGGCCCAUGGACUCCGUGAAAGUGGGAUGAAGAUCGCAAGAUGGCCAUUAAUGGCUUGUUUUAAUGACUAAUGACAUGUCAGGGUAGUGCAAGCUUGUUUUAUUCCAUUCAGGCUGUCUUGCGCUCUGGCUGUCUCUGUUCUAAAUGCCCUCUGUGGUGACUGGUAUUGUCAUUCUGUAUUUAGGCUAAGUUACGGGAGUGGGCCUAUGCAUGAUGGUGAACUGGCUGCAUUGUACUUUUGCCAAAUCAUUCCUCUGACCAAAACAUGAUUAUCAUAUAGUGGGAUGUUGUACAAUCAUAAACAUUCACUCAUGACUCAAGUUUAUCACAGACUUGGGCAUGUGCACCAUGCACUUUUGGACUAAAACAGAUACAUCAAAUCAAUGUUUUCUUUGCACCAAUUUUUAGGUGAAAAGGUGAAAGGAUUUUAAUUUAUAUAUAUUCAUUUGUAUAUAUCAUUAUUUAUAUACAAGUAUUUGGGCAAAAAAAAAAUCUAUUAAUUUAUUGACAAGUAGGGUAAAUUAAAAUGCACUUGACUUUAAAGGGUUUAAUUUCGUAAUUCAAAAAAAAAAAAAAAAAACGGAAGUGACGAUUUCCAACGCAUUUGAUGAUUGUGCAGAGGGGAGCAAGAGGUACCAGUCAGGUAAGACAAUCUAAAGUUUUUCUUGUGUUAAGUCAAAGUCUUUAAUUUCUUUUAGAGUUUCUGUUUUGGGUAGCUUUUGUUUUGCAGUCUAGUAUUGUGUAAUCCGUUUAUUGCACUGUUAAUAGAUGAUUUUGAGCGGUUGGGAGAUGUGAAAGCGCACGACUCUCUGUAAUGUAUUUACUUUAGUAUAUAUAUACACUAGGACUGAAACAAUUACUCGACAUUAUCGACAAUGUCGACGAUAAAAAUAAAAUUGUCGGCAAAUGUUUUUGAGUAACGUUAGUGGUUUGAUCUCGUAUCUGCCUAAUUUGAAAGCCUGCAAUAAUAUAAUGCAGUUUGACCAGUGUGGCGCUGUAGCGCAAGAUUGUAAUACACUCUCCUGAUUCAAUUCUAAAGAAGAAGAUAGCACUUCAGUUUGAGGCAAACCGAGCCGAUCCGAUCCGAACCGAACCUUGGAUGAAUAUAUUUGUGCAGAAUUUGAGACAUACGGAAUUACUAUAGGCCCAUCAGAAUCAACAAUCUUUGCCAAACUUGAUCCGGACUGCAAAACUUACAAAGAUGUUUGCAUACUGAAGAAGAGUCCUUAAUGAAACCCUCUUGGUGCCCACUACACAGGCAGGGGUGUCCAGACCUGAUCUAAGAAAGCCAGUGUUCUUUGGAGUUCAGCUCUUACACACCUGCCUGGAACUUCAGACUAAUGAAAUUGAAGUAUCCAGUGAAGACCCUAGCAGUAUGGAGUAUAUGGAUACAGACGUUGGCAGCAAUCAGGAGGUGAUCCAGAAGACUCGUGGGAAUAUAUUUGAAGCUGCAUCAUUGAAGACAGUCCAGCAGAUGUUGGAGUUUUAAAGGAUACAGUUCUUCAGGACCUAUAGCAGUUUACAGUCUGUAAAACCAUGUUGCUGGGACUGAUAUAUGGACUGAACUUGAGCAACCCUCCUGAACUCAGGUACACAUUUGGAAUACUGAAGAAGUUAUUUCUGGAGCCAGUUCCUGUUCCUGGAAUAAGGUUUGAUUGGUUGCCCAUGAAUGCCAAUUAGAAUUUUAUUUGCUAUUUUGUGUAAUUUUGUAAUGUGGUUUAAACUGUAUUUUACUGUGUGUAAUUAUUUAUUGCUUGUUUAACAAAUACA